rnacentral:lncRNA from 1 species
AUGACAGAAAUGAUGGCCAUUAGUAGAAAGCGUAAGAAAACAUUUCCAAAAUUGAAGUUCCUACUGCUAACUAGUCAUGUUGGGAUUGGGGAGGACAUGUUCCAUACUGAGAAAUGCAUGAUACGAAAACAAGGGCGUCCUGUUAUGCCUUACAAAUGUAUUCAGUGCUGCAUUACACUGUGCUUUAGAAGGUGGUCUGGAUGCCUUCUUAGUCUAAUGGCUACUCUCAAUGUCCUUUUUUUCCUUCAGGGCCUUCCAGGAGAGAGAGGCCUUCCUGGGCCUGAAGGGAAAGCAGGCCUGCAGGGUUUUAGAGGGCCACCCGGCCCAGCUGUAAGUAGUCUCUCUCAGAUCUGGAUUACUGGCUUGAGUUGUCUUCUUCUACUUGCUUGCUGUCUUUUUAGCGCAAUAGGAGCAGCUCUGCCUUGGCUUUGUGUUGUAAGGGCAGCAAGGACCUAAAAAGGCUUGCUUGAGGGAUUGCUCUGGGUCUCGCUAACACUCUGGAUAUUUGAAUUGGAUCUUUGCAGGGUUUCCCAGGCUUCCCCGGAGUUCUGGGCAGACCGGUAGGUGCUCCCAUCCCUUCUUCCCUUCCUGUAUUUCUCCCACUCUACUUUACAUGUAGCAAUUUGCUUCUUGCUGAUACGGGUGAUGGGUCUUUUCAUCUUGCUAUAGCACUUACUGUUAUUGCUGUCAGAAGGAAAGCGGAGUCCUUGACACAGAGGCUCAAGUAGGAGUCAAAGGAUUUCUAAAAAGCCUCUUACUGCUUUCUUUACUUGCCAAAUAGGAUCAGGAUAGCAACACUUAGAUUUAACAUUUGUAAAGUGUUUUGGUAUCCUAAGGGGAAAAUCCUUCAUCAUCUCCUCCUCUUUCUUCUUCUUCUCCUUUUAUUAGAAUUUUCCAGAGACUAAUGGAGUGCAAUUUGAAACUUGGGAGUCCUCAGCAAUUUUUUUAAAGAACUCACUAUUCUUGUACAUCUCAUUAUACCAACUGCCAUCUUGAAAUCUUUAACUUGGAGGGAGGGAGCUAAAUUUCUCUCUAACCAAAGUUUUCUAAGUAGUAUCCAAUUUGUUAAAAAGAUAAAAUAUAAGGGUUUGGGUGAAUCCUGUCCAUUUGAAUCACCCCAGGGUUUGCAGAAAUCAGCUUUGAAAGCAGAAGGUGUAUCUUGUAUAUACUAUACGGUAUAUAAACCUUGCUGCUGUGGAAUAUACGUUUAUCUGUUAAAAAAACAAGCAGACAAACACACAAAUAUUACCAAUUCUAAAUUAUGGCAACUCCAGAAUGUACUGUUCUGAUUUAUGCAAAUCACCAUGAAGUGUUCUGCUAGUAUUAUCUAUUCAUGAGUGUGAAUAUGCCAAGGCCUAACAAUGGUAUGAAGAAAAUCCAAUGGCAAAAAUGGCUGGUGGUCUGGUUUUGAGUUGUUGAGGAACUAAGAAAAGCUCAGAUGUUGAAUUAUCAGUGGAAAUCUCAUCUGAAGUGAAGUAGCCUGACACAUCUGUUUUACCUCUCUGUCAAGACUUCAGAAAUAGCUGAUUAGGGUUGCCGAGACAGGUCAUCACCAGAUCCAGCCUUAAUUAUGUGUCUCUUCAUUCAUACAGGGCAACCCAGGAGAUCCUGGACCACCAGGCCCUCCUGUAAGUAAGAGUGGCAUUUUUCUCAGUGAUAUGGUAACAGUUAAAAUCCAGUUAGUUGACUGCAGAUAAAAAAAAUAUGUGUUUCAAAUGUCUGAGAUGAGCACAAGUAGUGUAGUGCUUACCUAGUUACAUAACAGCAAAGCCUUUUGUAUUCUUCUCAGAACAGGAGACAACAAACCCACCUUUGCCAAAUACAGAACAAAAUGCAUUUCACAGUAGACUUCUGAUAAAUACUAUAUUACCUUCUUCAUUCUAUAUCAUUGCCCUAUCAUAUUCUCAAGACUGUAGGCCUAAUCUUUCAAGACACUUCAUAGGAGAUUUUAAAAAGUCAUCUCAUUCCUAAAGAUACAUAGAAUCAAGAGGAAAAUUUUUUGAGAUGAAUUAAACAAGUAUGUAAAUAAUGAAUUAAAUCAGGCUUCAUCUAUAAAUAAAAUUGUUUUGCUUUGGUUCA